UAUGUCCUUCGUAUAAUGGUAGUACAAGAGAUUCCAAACCUCUUAGCGUGGGUUCGAUUCCUACAGGACAUGC
rnacentral:tRNA from 1 species